rnacentral:rRNA from 1 species
UACGAAGGGGGCUAGCGUUGCUCGGAAUCACUGGGCGUAAAGGGUGCGUAGGCGGGUCUUUUAAGUCAGGGGUGAAAUCCUGGAGCUCAACUCCAGAACUGCCUUUGAUACUGAAGAUCUUGAGUUCGGGAGAGGUGAGUGGAACUGCGAGUGUAGAGGUGAAAUUCGUAGAUAUUCGGAAGAACACCAGUGGCGAAGGCGGCUGACUGGUCCGGUUCUGACGCUGAGGCGCGAAAGCGUGGGGAGCAAACAGG